GGCGAGCGCUGGGCACCCGCGGCGACGCCCUGCACCUGCGCGCAGCUGCUCCGCGGGCCGGCCGGGCCCUCCGUGUGCUCCGGGCGGGCGUGACUCCGGAGAUUUCUGCAGUUUUGCGUCCAACUAUUUCGAUUUUUCCGACCUACAACGGGCUAUUUAGAGGUUUUCUUUUUAAACUGUGAUCCACAUAUCCACCUCCUUUAGGAGUCUUUCUGGGGGACUUCUUUGGACUUAAGGUGAAAAUCAAUAAAGAUGUUUCAGAGUUGGUCAGCCGUUUUGGUUCUUGGGUUUAUUCUCCUGGAAUCAGAAGGAAGGCCAAUGAAAGAAGCAGCACAUGGCCUUAAAUUCUAUCAACCUCUAACAAGACUGCGACAUAAGCAGGAAAAAAGUCAAGAAAGCUCAAGAUUCAAAGACACUUCCUGGAGUGUUUUCCAAAUGUGACAGCAAACAGAAAA
rnacentral:lncRNA from 1 species